rnacentral:misc_RNA from 1 species
ACCGAUCUCUUAGGGGACUCGCGUUUUCACACAACACCCUUUUAAAAAGUGUAGAAUGACCUCAUUUAUGCGAUCAAUACAACUUUCAACAACGGAUCUCUUGGCUCUCGCAUCGAUGAAGAACGCAGCGAAAUGCGAUACGUAAUGUGAAUUGCAGAAUUCAGUGAAUCAUCGAAUCUUUGAACGCACCUUGCGCCCCUUGGUAUUCCGAGGGGCACACCCGUUUGAGCGUCGUGAAAUUCUCAACCUCCUCGGUUUCUUCUGGAGACUGAAGGAGGCUUGGACUUUGGAUGUCUUUGCUGGCGUGUCUCGCCAGCUCCUCUUAAAUGAAUUAGCGUGGUCCUCUUUGCCGAACCUCGACACGUGAUAAGAUGCUUCCGUGUCUCGGUUUCUGGCUCUGUUGCUUUUGGGACCCGCUUCUAACCGUCUGGACCUUGCGUCGAGACAAUGUUCGAGCUCGUAUCCCUUCUUGGGAAACCCCCUCGACCCCACGAACCCUUGGCCUCAAAUCGGGUGAGACUACCCGCUGAACUUAAGC